GAUGAACGCUGGCGGCGUGCUUAACACAUGCAAGUCGAACGGAAAGGCUCCUGCUUGCAGGGGUACUCGAGUGGCGAACGGGUGAGUAACACGUGGGUGAUCUGCCCUGCACUUCGGGAUAAGCCUGGGAAACUGGGUCUAAUACCGGAUAGGACCACAUUUUGGAUGGUGUGGUGGAAAGUUUUUCGGUGUGGGAUGAGCUCGCGGCCUAUCAGCUUGUUGGUGGGGUAAUGGCCUACCAAGGCGUCGACGGGUAGCCGGCCUGAGAGGGUGUACGGCCACAUUGGGACUGAGAUACGGCCCAGACUCCUACGGGAGGCAGCAGUGGGGAAUAUUGCACAAUGGGCGCAAGCCUGAUGCAGCGACGCCGCGUGGGGGAUGACGGCCUUCGGGCUGUAAACUCCUUUCGCUAGGGACGAAGCGCAAGUGACGGUACCUGGAGAAGAAGCACCGGCUAACUACGUG
rnacentral:rRNA from 1 species